GGGAGAAAGAACUCCAGUGGCUGCCAAGAACCCCUGCCAGAUGCUCCUCCCCACCACCCUGGCAUCUUGUGCAUAGUAGGUCUCGGGAAAUGCCUCCAUCAUGACUGCUAUUGGAAAGGAAGGCAAAUCUCCUGUUUGUUGCCCAGAGUGCUGGCUGUGAGUCACCUGGAGUUUCCUAGAGAUGGGAUUUUGCCAGGUUGCCCAUGCUGGUCUUGAACUCCUGGACUCAAGUGAUCCACCUGCCCUGGCCUCCCAAAGUGCUGGGAUUACAGGCUAUAUAUUGCUAAAGAAAGAAAAAGCACCAAUGGCUGAAGCUAGAGAGACCUUGCUGAGGAAGAGGGAACCUAAAAUGGGAAAUAGUGGCCUGGUAAAGAGGUGUGGCCAGAGGACAGCAUGGAGCAGAGCCAGGAGAAACUGCUCUGGGUGAAGAGCCAGAUCUGCUCUGGAAUGCAGCAAAGAGCUCCUUCCUGCUUUCUCAGCCCCUGCAGCAGCUCCUGCUUCACUCCAAGAAAAUGCCAGCCCCCUAAGAACCUGUCCCUUUGGAACAGUGGAUCCAAAAGCUGAUCCAAGAGACCUUGAACUUAACACCUCUGUGUCAUGGGCUCCUUAAUGAUAGAAAGAAGAUUGCUUUAGAAGACUGGUUUGCAAACCAGUCUGCUGGGCACUAGAAGCCUUGGGAAGAUUUGAAAAAUAAAUCUUAUUGGCCUCACCAUUUCACA
rnacentral:lncRNA from 1 species